UAGGGAAUCUUCCGCAAUGGACGCAAGUCUGACGGAGCAACGCCGCGUGAGUGAAGAAGGAUUUCGGUUCGUAAAACUCUGUUGUUAGAGAAGAACAGCGCAUAGAGUAACUGUUAUGCGUGUGACGGUAUCUAACCAGAAAGCCACGGCUAACUACGUGCCAGCAGCCGCGGUAAUACGUAGGUGGCAAGCGUUGUCCGGAUUUAUUGGGCGUAAAGCGAGCGCUGGCGGUCAAUUAAGUCUGAUGUGAAAGCCCCCGGCUCAACCGGGGAGGGUCAUUGGAAACUGGUUGACUUGAGUGCAGAAGAGGAGAGUGGAAUUCCAUGUGUAGCGGUGAAAUGCGUAGAUAUAUGGAGGAACACCAGUGGCGAAGGCGACUCUCUGGUCUGUAACUGACGCUGAGGCUCGAAAGCGUGGGUAGCAAACAGG
rnacentral:rRNA from 1 species